rnacentral:misc_RNA from 1 species
GCAAACUUGGUCAUUUAGAGGAAGUAAAAGUCGUAACAAGGUUUCCGUAGGUGAACCUGCGGAAGGAUCAUUAAUGAAUGAAUGUAGAGUUGGUUGUAGCUGUCUUCUCCCUGAGGCAUGUGCACGCCUUCUCUUUCAUCCACACACCCCUGUGCACUUGUGAGACAGAGGCCUUUUUUUGAUUCUUUCCUUUAACUAGGAAGAUGACGAUGGGCCUCUGUCUACUAUCACAUAAAAUCUAAUUUACUUAAAAACGAAUGUAAUUGAUGUAACGCAUCCAAUACAAAGUUUCAACAACGGAUCUCUUGGCUCUCGCAUCGAUGAAGAACGCAGC